rnacentral:rRNA from 1 species
GAUGAACGCUGGCGGCGUGCCUAAUACAUGCAAGUCGAGCGAACAGACGAGGAGCUUGCUCCUUCGACGUUAGCGGCGGACGGGUGAGUAACACGUAGGUAACCUACCUAUAAGACUGGGAUAACUUCGGGAAACCGGAGCUAAUACCGGAUAAUAUUUCGAACCGCAUGGUUCGAUAGUGAAAGAUGGCUUUGCUAUCACUUAUAGAUGGACCUGCGCCGUAUUAGCUAGUUGGUAAGGUAACGGCUUACCAAGGCAACGAUACGUAGCCGACCUGAGAGGGUGAUCGGCCACACUCGAACUGAGACACGGUCCAGACUCCUACGGGAGGCAGCAGUAGGGAAUCUUCCGCAAUGGGCGAAAGCCUGACGGAGCAACGCCGCGUGAGUGAUGAAGGUCUUCGGAUCGUAAAACUCUGUUAUUAGGGAAGAACAAACGUGUAAGUAACUGUGCACGUCUUGACGGUACCUAAUCAGAAAGCCACGGCUAACUACGUG